AGAAGCUGUGUGUCACUCGACGGCGGGAACUGAAGCGCUCUCUAUCGAUCAGAUGCGUGUCAGCAGCAGAGACCUGCACUGUUCUGAAACAAGUUCGUGAGAACGUAGAACUAACUGCGGACGCAGAUGACGAAAUUUGGAAGUAACUACCACGUGGACGACCCCGAGGAAUCGCCUCCAUUACGUCGUCGCCAUACAUUUUCCAUAUUCUCAACCUCGGAUGACAAAUCGGCAUGUCAGAGGAAACUUUCAAAGAAAAUAACAGGGGAUGAACAUUGGAGAAAAAUACACACAACAAACGAAACUCCAGUCAUUUUCCAUACAAGACCACAUCAUCGUCUUUCAUUCCGACGAUCCUUGAAGCGCUUGAAAAUUCCAUUCCGAAAAUCCCCGCUAAAACAGGAAAACAAGCAAGUCCCUAAAUCCCGCACAUCGUUGUUUCGUAGAUUUUACAUAUGGGUGCAUUCCAAAUGUGGAAUAGAACAUAGGCAUAAAAGUCGGUUUGACGAACAUUCCACUACUAAACUUCAUCGAAACGUCACCAGAACAACAGCAGUGGACUCGCUGUCCCACGAAGAUAACCAUCAGACUCCUUGUUAUCGUUAUGAAGAAACUAUCCAUUUGGAGCCAGUCGGAAACGACUUGAACUACGUGUAUAUAUGUAACAAAUCCCCAGAAACUGUUUCCUUGGACUCGAAGAAUGAAUCAAAUGAUUCAUCUUGUGCACGGCCGGUGUCUUCUAACAUGCUUCACGUUUCUGCCAUACAUGUGCGGAUCAAAGAUAUUUCACCGGAAAGACAACCUUUAGGAGCCACCUCUAGCUGCCCCCCAAGGAAAAGCAGUGGAGUGGGCUGUUUGAAUAUAAAUUUUUAUGGAACUUGGCCUCUAACAAAACGAAAACUGGACGAGAAGGAGGAAGAAUGCGAUCCAUCCUUCGAGAAACUCAUUAUAGACGCAAGAUCGGAGAAACACGAUCGCCUUGAGGACUUCUCCAUCGCUCACAGCGACCUGGAAUUUGGUGAUUGUCUGCGGAUUGGAAGACACCAAACAAUAUAUAGAGGAAGAUGGCAUGGAGAUGUGAAUAUCCACAGUUUUGACGCAGUCUCUGAAUCCGAUGAUUUCUGGAAUAAAGUCAGAAAGUUGUGUCGAAUUCGACACGAAAAUUUAUUACUGUUUAUGGGCGCCUGCUUAGAAGAAUGCCAUUUGGCAAUAAUAUUGAGUUGUCAAGGCGGAAUCUCCAUGUAUGACCAUAUUCAUGUCCAACGUGAAAAGACGUCACUGAUCUCAAAACUCCAGUUCAUCCGCCAGGUGUCGUACGGCAUGGGGUACCUCCAUUCCAGAGAAAUAGUGCACAAGAGAUUAACAACGCGAAAUAUUUUUCUGUGUCCAAACGCCAGAAUCAGUGUGAUUGAUUAUGGAUUUGCGGAAGUUAAAUAUGACAGGCCUGGGUUUGCCUGUUUACCACGUGGUGAUUUGACAUAUAUUGCUCCGGAAAUCCUACGUUCUAUGUCCGUCGUUCCACCACUGCUUGUUGCGCUGGAACCUUAUACAUUCGAGACGGACGUGUAUGCUUUUGGAACUGUCGUCUAUGAGUUGAUGACUGCCCACUAUCCAUAUCAUGGAAAUGUUCCAGACUUCAUUAUCUGGCAAACUUGUAAAGACAAGAAACGGAUGAUCCCAAAUAAAACAGGAAUGAAAAUUCUCGAGGGCGCUUUGCGAAGUCGAUGCUGCACCGGGAUACGACAUCGAACCCUAGACUUUAGACUUCCCUGUUGUUAAACAAGUACCCGGAUCACAAAGGUAUCACGGCCAGAAAAAAAUGUUAGUAGUCACAUUGGAUCCAAGUUUCAAUGUAACUUAAAUUGUCAUGAUAUUCAAAAUUCAAAUUGUUACUGCAGUACCUGGGUGGAAGUAAUUUUAGGAUUGCUGAGAGCCUUUACACUUUUACACUUUUAUUGGUAGCUAAUUUCCGUGGACCAUCUGGUAAUUUUCUGCUGUCAAGGACAUAAAGGUUUCAAACACUGCUUCUAGUAUCUUCUACCUCCAUGAUUCUUUCAUCAGGAGGUCAUACUGGAAUGGAAUCCAUUUUGUUCCAGAAAUCGUUUGAGUGACAUUAUUGAACUACUGUAUCCCAUAUGUCUUUCUAAAUAAAUGCAGGUGCCUAGGAGGAGUAAGAAUCCCCUGUCGACCGGUCACACCCGCCGUGAGCCCUAUGUCUUUAUCAGGUAAACGAAGCAAUCCGUAGUCAACAUCAGUGUGCCAAGAAAGACCUCACAAUUUCUUAUGUUUCUUAAGGAAGGACGUGAAAGUAUAAUAAACGAAUAAAUGUACACAGGGGUUCCCCGAAGUGAGAGUACACGUGUCUAAUAAAUUGUCUAAUAAAUAAACAAUCAAGGGCAAAGCGGGGUGUAAUAGAAGAAUAGAUUUACACGAGCGUUUCGCGAAGUGAAAUCACAAUGCAUAAACGUAUAAAUGUAAAAGAUUCCGCAAAGUGGGGUAAAAUUUAUUUAUUACAUGCACUCCCUUGAUGAAUCAGUUGAGAGACAAAAACCCCAUAUCUAGACUGAUUCGAUGCACGAGAGCAUGUUCUGUGUAUGAUCAAGUUUUAGAAGACAGAUUGUAUUCGCAAACAAGAUCAUUAUAACCAUCAUAAAAUUUGCGAAAUGCUGUCAGUGACUUAAAACGAGACUGUUGAAACCCCCUGUAACAUCACCUUGUUUGUCAGUAACAUAUCUAUAACAUCAACAAGCAGUUAUUAUGAAUUAACUAAAUUUAUUUCGUAACAUUGUUGUCAUUUGACUACUUCAAAGAAAGCAAGCAUAUUGCUCUGCACCUAUUGGUCGGUAGGCAAGAUGAACAACCAACAGCUCUUGCUUUAUGAUUAGGGUCAGAUGUGACAGGUACUUACAGUAUUGUAUACCUGUAAAACAAUUGUUGGGCAGGUAUUACACGUAGAAAGGAUGAUCCUAACUUCUUGAUAUUCCCGCCGAAUUCAAAUGGGGUUUCCUGUUUGCAUAUUCCAAGAAAAGACAUAUUAGCAUUAACUAGUAAAUCAGCCUUUGAGUUUCUACUUUUAAGAUAAAAAAGUUCAACGUUUCGGUCAAAUGUCACUUUUUCUCCCUAUUUUGAUAUAGGGGAAGAUAUGUACAUUUCUGUCUUUUUUCAUAUUUCCUUACGGGACACCAUGUGAGACGCAUGUGAUUUUGUACUCGAAUUCCAAUUUUGUGUGGACAAAAACUCUCACGAGCAAAUGUUGGGCUUACGACGAAGAAAAGCGACCCAGUUUUCAAGAUAUAAGUAAAACUUUACACAGAAAUGCAAAUCUACACAAGCAGCACAGUGUUUCGGAGCCAGACAUAACAGGCCGCUCUGGAGGUGUCCUACUGAAUGGAUUUCUAUAAAAAAAAAUAAA